rnacentral:tRNA from 1 species
GGUAGUGUGGCCAGUGGUCUAAGGGCUGGAUUUAGGCUCCAGUCUCUCUGGGACGUGGGUUCAAAUCCACCACUGCCA